rnacentral:rRNA from 1 species
CGAGUAGGCGGUAAUAUGUGUCAGAUGUAAAAGGCUAUGGCUUAACCAUAGUUGGCAUUUGAAACUGUAUUACUUGAGUGCAGGAGAGGUAAGUGGAAUUCCUAGUGUAGCGGUGAAAUGCGUAGAUAUUAGGAGGAACACCAGUGGCGAAGGCGACUUACUGGACUGUAACUGACGCUGAGUCACGAAAGCGUGGGUAGCAAACA